rnacentral:lncRNA from 1 species
AGCUAAUCAGCUUCCCAGUUUGCACAAUUCAUCAAGAAAUUAUGCGGGGUCACUGGCACAAAUGAUGAGGCAUCUCCUGGGAGCUUAACUUCUUAUCCAUCCCAUCUCUUGGACAGAUGAUGCCAGUUAAUUACUUUGAAUGCUCCUCCACCAAGCCAAGGCCAGACUCCUGCAAUCAUAGGAUGGCAACGCCACCUCUAAAGCACAGAACUUCAGGCUUGGCUUCGGAAGUGGCACCAUGGUCUCUUCAUUUUCCCUUUCUUCAAGGUCAGAAAACUGAAGCUGUUAGGAGUUUUAGUGUUAAGUUCCUUCCGAGGAUGUUAAUUAGGCUUCAAACUGUUUUGUUCUGAGAAAUAAAAACUAAACUCCAGUCAUUCAAGCUAACAGUUGAGGUGUUCUAUGGCUUCAAAAUCAAGUAAGAUUUGCAAAUGAAUUGCUAGAUGCAACCAUUUUUUAUUAUGUGCCACACAAACAGUGGAGAAAAUUAUGGACACCACCAUCC